ACUCAAAGGAAUUGACGGGGGCCCGCACAAGCGGCGGAGCAUGUUGCUUAAUUCGACGCAACGCGAAGAACCUUACCAAGGUUUGACAUACAGGGAAAAGCCGUAGAGAUAUGGUGUCCGUAAGGGUCCUGUACAGGUGGUGCAUGGCUGUCGUCAGCUCGUGUCGUGAGAUGUUGGGUUAAGUCCCGCAACGAGCGCAACCCUCGUUCUAUGUUGCCAGCGGAUAAUGCCGGGGACUCAUAGGAGACUGCCGGGGUCAACUCGGAGGAAGGUGGGGAUGACGUCAAGUCCUCAUGCCCCUUAUAUCUUGGGCUGCAAACAUGCUACAAUGGCCGGUACAGAGGGCUGCGAAAUCGCAAGAUGGAGCGAAUCUCAAAAAGCCGGUCUCAGUUCGGAUUGGGGUCUGCAACUCGACCCCAUGAAGUCGGAGUCGCUAGUAAUCGCGAAUCAGCAACGUCGCGGUGAAUACGUUCCCGGGCCUUGUACACACCGCCCGU
rnacentral:rRNA from 1 species